rnacentral:rRNA from 1 species
AAUCAACGCUGGCGGCGUGCCUCAGACAUGCAAGUCGAACGCGAAAGGCUCCUUCGGGGGCCGAGUAGAGUGGCGCACGGGUGAGUAACACGUAGGUAAUUUGCCUUUGGGUGGGGAAUAACUCAGGGAAACUUGAGCUAAUACCGCAUAAUGCAGCGGCUCGACAUCGAGACAGUUGUUAAAGCGGGGGAUUCGCAAGAACCUCGCGCCUGAAGAGAAGCCUGCGGCAGAUUAGCUAGUUGGUAGGGUAAUGGCCUACCAAGGCAACGAUCUGUAACCGGCCUGAGAGGGCGGUCGGUCACACUGACACUGACAUACGGGUCAGACUCCUACGGGAGGCAGCAGUCGGGAAUUUUGGGCAAUGGGCGAAAGCCUGACCCAGCAACGCCGCGUGAAGGAUGAAGUAUUUCGGUAUGUAAACUUCGAAGAAUGGGAAGAAUAAAUGACGGUACCAUUUAUAGGUCCGGCUAACUACGUGCCAGCAGCC